CGCGUGUGUGAAGAAGGCCUGAGGGUUGUAAGCACUUUCAAUAGGAAGGAAUACCUAUCGGUUAAUACCCGGUAGACUGACAUUACCUAUACAAGAAGCACCGGCUAACUCCGUGCCAGCAGCCGCGGUAAUACGGAGGGUGCAAGCGUUAAUCGGAAUUACUGGGCGUAAAGCGUGCGUAGGCGGUUAUUUAAGUCAGAUGUGAAAGCCCUGGGCUUAACCUGGGAACUGCAUUUGAUACUGGAUGACUAGAGUUGAGUAGAGGAGAGUGGAAUGUCAGGUGUAGCGGUGAAAUGCGUAGAGAUCUGAAGGAACACCAGUGGCGAAGGCGGCUCUCUGGACUCAAACUGACGCUGAGGUACGAAAGCGUGGGUAGCAAACAGGAUUAGAUACCCUGGUAGUCCACGCCGUAAACGAUGUCAACUAACCGUUGGGUUCUUUAAGAACUUAGUGGUGGAGCUAACGUAUUAAGUUGACCGCCUGGGGAGUACGGCCGCAAGGCUAAAACUCAAAUGAAUUGACGGGGGCCCGCACAAGCGGUGGAGCAUGUGGUUUAAUUCGAUGCAACGCGAAGAACCUUACCUAACCUUGACAUGUAGC
rnacentral:rRNA from 1 species